GAUGAACGCUAGCGGGAGGCCUAAUACAUACAAGUCGAACGGUAACAGGUAGCAAUACGCUGACGAGUGGCGCACGGGUGCGUAACGCGUACACAAUCUGCCUUAUACUGGGGCAUAGCCUUUGGAAACGAAGAAUAAUUCCCCAUAACAUAUAGAAGAGGCAUCUCUUUUAUAUUAAAGCUCAGGCGGUAUAAGAUGAGUGUGCGUCCGAUUAGGUAGUUGGUGAGGUAACGGCUCACCAAGCCAACGAUCGGUAGCUGGUCUGAGAGGAUGAUCAGCCACACGGGCACUGAGACACGGGCCCGACUCCUACGGGAGGCAGCAGUAGGGAAUAUUGGACAAUGGGCGCAAGCCUGAUCCAGCCAUCCCGCGUGAAGGAUGAAGGUCCUCUGGAUUGUAAACUUCUUUUCUUCGGGUAAUAAAAACUGGGUUCGUCUCAGCUUGAAGGUACCGAAGGAAUAAGCACCGGCUAACUCGUCGCCAGCAGCCGCGGUAA
rnacentral:rRNA from 1 species